rnacentral:lncRNA from 1 species
CCUACUUCGAACACAAUACCACACAUAAUAACUUAAUAAACAAUCAAAUACAAUGGUUUAGUGCACAUGGGAUUUGACAAACCUCAUCAACCAGCAUAAGUGGAACCAUACUCUGAAUUUGGCAUAAACCUUGUUCCAAACAAAUUCUUCAUUUUUUUGAAAUCUUGAAACCAUGACAUUAGUGGUUAUAGCCUGAAAGUAGAUCAAAUGAGUGAGACAACAUAGAUUAAAAGGAAAAAGUCUAUUUAAGCUCAUAGGCACGAGUAAACAAAUUUUGAAGGAUUUGUCUCUUUGAAAGUGGACAAUAAUGAGAACUCGAGCUCUUUGGUAGACUACAUAAAAUAUCAUCAGAUAUUGUUCUUAAAGUUGGCCUUUUAAACAGUAAGGUCAUAAGCACACAAUCAUUGCAACAAUCACAAAAAUAUAUGAUAAACUACCAAAAAUACACGAACCAGAUUCACUGUAGUGCUGAAGAAGUAACUUUGCUCUCUCAAUUGCAGUGUUGAAUAAGCGUCAAC